AGCGAACGCUGGCGGCAGGCCUAACACAUGCGAGUCGAACGAACUCUUCGGAGUUAGUGGCGGACGGGUGAGUAACACGUGGGAACGUGCCUUUUGGUUCGGAAUAACUCAGGGAAACUUGUGCUAAUACCGAAUGUGCCCUUCGGGGGAAAGAUUUAUCGCCAUUAGAGCGGCCCGCGUCUGAUUAGCUAGUUGGUGAGGUAACGGCUCACCAAGGCGACGAUCAGUAGCUGGUCUGAGAGGAUGACCAGCCACACUGGGACUGAGACACGGCCCAGACUCCUCCGGGAGGCAGCAGUGGGGAAUUUUGCGCAAUGGGCGAAAGCCUGACGCAGCCAUGCCGGGUGAAUGAUGAAGGUCUUAGGAUUGUAAAAUUCUUUCACCGGGGACGAUAAUGACGGUACCCGGAGAAGAAGCCCCGGCGAACUUCGU
rnacentral:rRNA from 1 species